AGCUCACCAGUGAUGUUUCUAAAUAAAUGUCUGAACAAAUGACAUUUCGUGUGAUUUCAAUCUUAAAACUGAGGUGAGCG